rnacentral:rRNA from 1 species
UACGGGGGGGGCAAGCGUUGUUCGGAAUUACUGGGCGUAAAGGGCUCGUAGGUGGCCAACUAAGUCAGACGUGAAAUCCCUCGGCUUAACCGGGGAACUGCGUCUGAUACUGGAUGGCUUGAGUUCGGGAGAGGGAUGCGGAGUUCCAGGUGUAGCGGUGAAAUGCGUAGAUAUCUGGAGGAACACCGGUGGCGAAGGCGGCAUCCUGGACCGACACUGACGCUGAGGAGCGAAAGCCAGGGGAGCAAACGGG